GAGAGCGCGCGCCGGUCCUGGCCUCGCCUUUAUAAAUCCUGGUCCGGGGACGCGCCCAAUAACCCGUCGCGCGCGCCAGCCGCCGCGCGCACGCGCCCCUAGGGGCCCUCCAAUUGGCCGGCGAGCUGCGGGGCCCGCCCUCGCCGUGCACGGAUUGGUCGCCCAUGCCAGGCCCGGCCCCGGAGUCGGAAACGCUACGGAGUCCUUCCUCGCCCUCAUCCAGGAUUGGCCGCGGCGCUCGCGCUCGCUCCGCUCUCCAGAUUUUGAUUGGCUCCGAGCGGAGAACUUUCUCUCCCUCGACUUCUGACUGGUGAUAUUCAUCCACACCUUUCGCGGUUCUGGAAUGGCUACUUCUUUCGGCUGUCGGGGCUCUGUGGCUUCUGAUUGGCCGAGAUUCGCGCGCACCCUGCGCGUCCCUCCGUCGAACGUGGCAGUGAGGCGGAGUCCCGGGUCGGGGCGGAGCUGCGCCUGCGCCUCCGAAACCCCUCGUGUUGCAUUCUGACUGGACCGCGUGUCCGUAACGGGCACCGCCCCCGGACUGCCGGCCGGAAGCCUGGCUGACGCAAUUUCCGUCGCGCGUGCGGCCCGUGCAGCGCCUGCAGAGGCGUGGGGUCCGACAGUUUUUGGCGGACACAACAUCUUUGUAUGUGGCGCUGAGGAUCGAACACGGGCCGCACGCAUGCCAGGAGAGUGCGCUACCGCUUGAGCCACAUCCCCAGCCCCCAGAGACUUGUUCUUGAGAGUGUGCAUCUCACCUUUCCUGCGUGGCACUCCACUUGGAGUGUGAGUUCCUUGCCUUCAAGACCCAGUGCUACCUUCAUGUAGCUCAUACCUGAAACUGCUGCAACUGUGGAAGCCGAAACCCAUAUUGCAAGAUGGAGACCAGCAUGGGUCUUUCCCAGGUUCCCAGGUGUGACAUUUCAGGCCUGGCGGACUAUGAACCAGUGUCGCGCCCCAGUUCAAUAGGAUUGACCAGGUGCUUUUCCACUGAAUUGCAGCUCUUCAUAAUGCCACUGUGGGGUGAUGACUGCUUCAGAUCCGAUGAACUGGUCUAUUUUUGUGCUUGCCUUGACUUGUUUUACAAACCAAGAUUUGGGGCCCAAGACAAAAGACUUGAGUUCAGAUUUUCUAACUGUGGAGGUUAGUAUUUUGUCCAUUGAUGGGAAGUGAAGGGAUUUAGGGUACUGUUGUGGAUUAGCUCGUGAUGGUUUGAAGGCAUCUUAGUUCCAGAACAUAAACUAUGAAGAAGAAAUGUGCACAUCUACAUCACCAGAAACAAGCAGAGGCCACUGCAGGUGCACAGAUCAGACAAGGAUCAAAGUAGCUUAGACUCUACCGUCUAAGGUGGGCUCUGGGCCUACAGUGGCUCGUGCCAAGGGCAGUUGAACACGCUUCAGUUUGGGGAACUGCCCAGCCAGAGUAGCAGAGAGCAGGGCUGCUGUUCUGUGGCCUAGGUGGCUGUGGCUAAGUUGAUGUUCUAUGAAAAUCAGGGCAUCCAGCAGCACUCCCCCCAGGUGAUCAUGCUGCCAUGGCUACCCUGGCAGCUAGCUCUUGCUGGUACCUUGUCCUUCCUGAAUCAGCCUUCUUCAACUUAAGCAGGUACAGCAAAGUUGGUUCUUAUGAGCCCCGCAGGAGGCCUGAGAGACCCCUGGGCACCCACAGUGCAUUCUACUUCCCUGGAUAUAGGCCACCCUGUCUGAAUACCUGUAGGCCUCAGCCCAGAGCAGAGGGCUGAUGAGAUGGGUCACUCAUCCUGUGCUCAGGCCUUCAAGGAGUAUGUCCUUGGGGUCGGCCUUCCCUGGGGCAGUGACUGGCCAUAUAGGUGCUUCUGGACAUCUUCCAGGGAGUGUCACACUCAGAGUAUGUUACCUGUUAAACAUGGUUUCCUGCUGAGUCAACAUGUUUUGAUUACUAUUACCCUCUCUGGAUACAGUGGUGCACAACUGUAAUCCCAGGGACUUAGGAACCUGAAGUAGGUGAUGGCAAAUUCCAGGCCAGCCUGGGCAAUUUAGUGAGACCUGAUCUCAAAAUAAUCAGAAGGGUUGUGAGGUAGCUAAGUGGUCAGUGCUCCUGGGCUUAAUUCCCAGUACUGAGGGGAAAAAGCUACUUUCAACCACCCCCUCCCUGGCGUGUGUGUGUGUGUUACUGGUGAGUGAAUUAAGGGCCUUGUAUAUGCUGGGCAAGCACUCUGCUACUAAGCUGAGUUACAUUCCCAGCCUCAAAUAUACUUGCACGCACAAGGCCCUGUAUUUGAUCCCCAGCGCUACCAAAAAAAAAAAAAAAAAAAGCAAGCGUUCUUAGAACACAGCUUCCUUUAGCCUGCACCUGCUAUCCUGCUAGAUGUGUAAAGGGGUCACCAGCAAGUUCAUGGGCACCUAGAGGGCUACUGGCUGCAGGUUUUUGCUGUAUUAGGCUUCUGUGCCCAAUUCUGAGACAGGCGUGCGGGAGAGAGCAGGGCAGUGGUGGUAAAUCAGUACCUGGCGAUUGCUUGGUCACAUCUAGAUCCUGACCUCAGCUGGCACCAGUUAUGGCCUCUUCACAGAAGAAGGGCCUGUCUGUGGAUGCUGAGGAGGUGGAAGCUUGGGGAUUUCUGGGGCCUGUGGAUAAAGGGAGGUGAGAAGAGGGCAUGGGUUGUGGACCUGGGAGGCCAGCCUUGGAGCAGCAUCAAGCUGUACAACAGGUCAGGGUGGGACCAGGAGGAUCAGGUUAGACUUGGGACUUGAGACACGUCAUGCACCUUCUGCAAGUGCAACUUUGUUAUCCUCCCCUAGGAGCUCGAGCAAAGUCUUGGCUGUUGGCCAUGUGCCUGUACAACUUGGCACUCAGGGUCUGAGUUCACAUGUCUAACAAGCUUGGAAAACCCCAGAGCAAAAAGAUCAAGCCUCUUGGCCUGAUGUGAGCCUCAGAAGUCCUUGCCCAAUAAACAACUGCUGGCAAUAAGA